GCGGGGAUAGCUCAGUUGGGAGAGCGUCAGACUGAAGUAAACACUUUAGUUUCUUUCUAGAACAUCUGAAGAGAUUUCAGUUUCUUUCUAGAUCAUCUGAAGGUCGUGCGUUCGAUCCGCACUCACCGCA